UACGGAGGGGGCUAGCGUUGUUCGGAAUUACUGGGCGUAAAGCGUGCGCAGGCGGUUGUGUAAGACAGAUGUGAAAUCCCCGGGCUCAACCUGGGAACUGCAUUUGUGACUGCACAGCUGGAGUGCAGAAGGGGCAACUGGAAUUCUCGGUGUAGCGGUGAAAUGCGUAGAUAUCGAGAGGAACACCUGCGGCGAAGGCGGGUUGCUGGGCUGACACUGACGCUGAUGCGCGAAAGCUAGGGGAGCGAACGGG
rnacentral:rRNA from 1 species